GCGUCGGUCGCUCGCGCGCGUGGAUACCUCCGAGCGCGCGUAUUUUUUCCUUCUCCCGCGUGCGGCGCGCCCUAGCUUCCUCCUUCCCUUCCACUCCCGUCCAUAGCAGCGCUGCCACCACCGACGGAAGGCCCUUAGCAGCGCCGCCACCACCACGGGAGAUGCGUGGAGAGAUGAAGCAAACCAAGUCAGGAAGAAUAGAAAUGAGGGCAGAAUGGAAUGAAACAAGAACUUGUUUUUUUGUGAGCUUACUGAAGGAGUACAAUUCACCAAGAUAUCGUGCCCAAAAUGGUUGGACAAAAGAAGCAUGGAACAACAUGACACAACGCAUCAACGAUAAAUUUGAAACAAAUUUUGUGGUGACGUAAUUGAAGAACAAAUGACCAGUGGGGGCCGAAUAAACUUACAAAUUCAUACCGAAUUUUGCCUGGUCCACUAAAGCUGCCUGCGCCCCCCCCCCCCCCCCCCCCCCCCGCAUGGGCUCGUAGCCCACAGACGUCCCAGGAGCUGGCCCAAUUUAUCUUCGCCAUCCAUUUCGAUUGAAUGGCCACGAUUUACCGAAAUCGCAUAUAUAAAUGAAAAUUUCGGCAUGCCCUAACCCUAGCUUCAUUCGCUUCCGAUAUUUCCGGAGUGGUAUAGGGCGGAUUUGGUGGCGGCGACUGUGAGGCGGGCGAGCGAGGUGGUCAUUGGGCUCGCGCCGGAGAACGCUAUGAUCCCGCUGUUCGAGACGGGGGGCGCGCAGCUCGAGCUCAUACGGGAUGCCGAGAUUGAGCCGUGUGCCUACGUGAGGUGGGAGCAAGGGAGGCCGAGAGGAUCCGCUUCAUGAGUUGGAUGCACACGAGAGACGUUGGGGAUCCCAGCUUCCCAAUGCGGGAGAUCCAGAAGAGUCAACGGCGGAUCGAUCAAGUGGAUUAGCACUCUCCCCUGUCUGCGUGAUCUGUAGAACAAGGAUAAGUCGGGGACGCUGUUCUGCUUUGCCGCGAUGGAACAUGUGUUCCAAUCCGAGAAUUUCAGGCUGGGGCGGUUGGGAUGAGGGGGAAGCCAAUGGGAGAUGGAUCAAGGAGAUGAGCAUGUAUUUGUUAGGGUUUUCUCCGGGAUUGAAGGCACUGCUGCAGGCUGAAACGUUUCUCGCUUGAUUGGCGGAAGAAGGGAUUCCAGCGAUCUGUUUGCUGCUAGCUGCGAGAGUUCAAUAUGUCUCGGACCUUCAAAUCGACGACGGGUCUCUCUCGGCGGUUUCUGAAUCUGAUCGCGGCCAACCACUCCCCUGGCGUCAAGUCGCUGCACCGCAUCGGCCUGGGUCGCAUCUUUAACUCAACGCCAGCGCCAAUACCAAACGGAGAUCGAUUGGAGUCCGCAGCAGGACAAGAAGACUACAUGGUGCGGCCCCGCGCGUUGGAUAUCAUUCGGCUCCCCACGCCGGUAAUGAGCUUCCGAUCUUCAGCGUCAUUUGAAAGCAAAGAAUGGAAGUUGGAUUGCUUCCCGUUUUCGGACUGCAAAGUUUUCUGCAUGGACCAGUCAGGGCGCGGUUUCCUCUUCGAUGCCAACUCGUGCGGGGUGUCAACCGUGGCCCAUCUCCAUACACCCAAGCGAUGCAGGCGCUUAUUGAUCUUCACGUGGAGGACAAUGCAACCGCGACGAUACACAAGCAUUUGAGAAGGGCUACCCAUCUGUUUUAUGGAAUGUCAAUUGCAAUUUAUUCAGAUGCUAAUUUUGCCUUUGUAUGAUCUUUACAUAAUAGGGUAUAAGAAGUUCAAUCAACAUUUUCCCUCCAUGAGUGAAUGAUCGAUCAAAUUGAGAAGAUGACUACUUCAAUUGAAGAUGAUCGGAAGAUAAGUGUUUGUGAUAUUUUUUUAUUGCCACUUUUUGUUCCUAAAUCAAUCAUUUGCUGUGGUUCCAGAAAGUAACUGAGGAGUGAUAAAACGACAAUUUUGAGCUUCAACGCUUUGCUAGGUUGGCAAAAAACUUAAAGCAACAGAGUGGUAUAGGGCGGAUUUGGUGGCGGCGACUGUGAGGCGGGCGAGCGAGGUGGUCAUUGGGCUCGCGCCGGAGAACGCUAUGAUCCCGCUGUUCGAGACGGGGGGCGCGCAGCUCGAGCUCAUACGGGAUGCCGAGAUUGAGCCGUGUGCCUACGUGAGGAGGGAGCAAGGGAGGCCGAGAGGAUCCGCUUCAUGAGUUGGAUGCACACGAGAGACGGUGGGGAUCCCAGCUUCCCAAUGCGGGAGAUCCAGAAGAGUCAACGCCGGAUCGAUCAAGUGGAUUAGCACUCUCCCCUGUCUGCGUGAUUUGUAGAACAAGGAUAAGUCGGGGACGCUGUUCUGCUUUGCCGCGAUGGAACAUGUGUUCCAAUCCGAGAAUUUCAGGCUGGGGCGGUUGGGAUGAGGGGGAAGCCAAUGGGAGAUGGAUCAAGGAGAUGAGCAUGGUAGGCUGUUCAAUUCUCAAUGGCUUCGUCGCGAAAAGUGAGGAAUGCAAAUAAACGCUACACCAAAAUCAACGAAGAUUGGCAGGAUAAAGAUGAGACAAAUGUACAUAAAAGUAAAGUGCGAAAGAAAAAGUUAUCUGACAUGCUUGGGUCUCAAUGGAGCAAAGAUGAGCUCGAGCGCUUCUAUGGAGCCUACAGAAAAUAUGGAAAAGAUUGGAGAAAGUUUUUUUUAUGCCCUUCUAGACAGAACCGAGACAUAAAAAUACAUUUAGUUGCUGGUGCAAUACGUGAUAGGACAUCUGAAAUGGUGGAGGCUCUUUACAACAUUAAUAAGGCAUAUUUAUCUCUUCCAGAGGGAACAGCUACUGCUGCGGGGUUAAUAGCAAUGAUGACCGAUCACUACAAUAUUCUGGAUGGAAGUAACAGUGAUCAUGAAAGCAAUGAUUCACCAAAAGCUUCAAGGAAGCCACAGAAGCGUGGUCGUGCUAGGUUUCAAUCUGUUUCUAAGACAUCUGAUGCACGUUAUGCUGAUCUAGGGCAAUCUCAGCCUUCUUCAUCAAGCUAUGGCUGCCUUUCGUUGUUGACGAAAAAAUGUGCUGGAGAUCUGCUUGUAGGGAACAGGCCUCGUGCUGUUGGAAAAAGGACUCCAAGAGUACCUGGUGCAAGUAUAUACUAUCGAGAUGACAGGGGUGUAACAGAUAGGCGUGCAAAAACAGUUGCUAACAAUGGUGAUGAUGAAGGAGCUCAUGUAGCUGCGCUUGCUCUGGCAGAGGUAUUUCAAAGAGGAGGCUCACCUCAGGUUUCUGAAACAUCCAAAUGGUGAUCACAUGUUCCUGUCUCCUGUUAAAAGUAGUGACAGAAAAAAUGCUGAUUCAGAGAUGGGAAGCUCAAAGUUGCAUGGGUUUCAUUUGGAUGCUGAUUACCCCGAAGGUAGCUUAGGAAGCAGGGAGGCCGAGACUGGUGAAUAUUGCAAAGGUUCAUCAUUUUUGACGAAAAAUGAAGGUUCUGGUAAGCCUCUGAAGAAGGGAAAAAAGUCUCAGAAGAGGAGGAAAAAAGCUGCACAUAAAACAGGUGAUCAGUUCGAGGAUGACAGAGAGGCUUGUAGUGGAACUGAUGAAGGGCAUAGGUCGAUAAAGAUUAAAGAAGACUCAGAGCUGGAGUCAUUGGGAUGGCCGUCUAGCACGUCAAAUAAAAGAAGUCGUCAAUUGUUUUUUGGUGAAUCUUCAGCCCAAAUUAAGGAUGAAAACAAAGAUGUUGAUUCUGAUGACAGGCCUGGCAUGCCUGCGGCAGUAUCAGUGUAUGAGCAGAAAGUUAACUCCAAAAGCACUGCAAGGAAAGUUAAAAGGCAGCCUGAAAUUUCAAAUUCAGAGAUGGUCACUAGGAAAAAAGCUAAAGUUACUAAAGAUCCUCAUCACGAUGGGAGCACCACUUCUGAUGUAAAGCAGCAAGCUUGUACAUGUGGUGUCAAAACAGAGAAAAAGAAGAGGAAAUCAUCCACGACAAAGGUUUCUGCUGAAGAAGGGAAGGUGUCGUCUAAUAUCGGGACAACCACACAAGGUGAUACAACACAAGCUGACUUAUCAUCAAAGGGUAAAAGCUGCCGUAAAAUAGGCAUUCAGCAAGCACUAAUUGAAGAAUGCAAAUCAACCAAGGUUGCCAAUGAUACUGGAAGUGAUAAAUUUUCUCACUCAGUGAAUAAUGUUAUUGAUCUUAAGGACAAACUCUCUCACUGCUUGUCCUCACGUUUGCUUCGGAGGUGGUGUAUGUUUGAAUGGUUCUAUAGUGCAAUUGAUUAUCCAUGGUUUGCAAAAAGUGAAUUUGUGGAGUACUUGAAUCAUGUCAAGCUGGGUCAUGUUCCAAGGCUGACUCGUGUUGAGUGGGGUGUCAUAAGGAGUUCUCUUGGGAAGCCCCGCCGAUUGUCUAAACAAUUUUUGCAUGAGGAGAGAGAGAAGCUUUCUCAAUAUCGCGAUUCAGUCAGGCAACACUAUGCUGAACUUCGAUCUGGUGUUAGAGAAGGACUACCCACGGAUCUUGCACGACCUCUUGCAGUUGGACAGCGUGUUAUAGCCUGUCAUCCUAGAACAAGGGAACUUCAUGAUGGGAAUAUUCUGACAGUUGACAAUAAUCGUUGUCGGGUUCAGUUUGAUCGGCCUGAGCUGGGUGUUGAGUUUGUGAUGGAUAUUGAUUGUAUGCCCCUCCAUCCCAUGGAAAAUGAGUCCCUCAGGCAAAAAAACAUCGUGAAUAAAUACUUAUCCGAGGUGAAACUUGAGGAUCAGAUGAAUGACUUGGGUAGUGGGGGUGCAGCAAGGUUCGCAUCAAAUGUGAAUGUGAAUUGUGGCGAUGCAGCGUUCCAAAUACCUUCUAGCCACCCGGUAAAUAGUUUAACGAAGCAAGCAAAGGUUGGCACAGUUGAUUCAAUUGUACAGGCCAAAGCUACAGUUAAUGAGGUUGCAAUUGCAGCACAACAAGCAAUGUACAAUCAGCCAUGCAGUCUCUCACAGAUACAGGAAAGAGAAGCUGAUAUAAGAGCUCUUGCUGAACUAUCACGUGCCCUUGAUAAAAAGGAAGCUUUAUUGGUAGAGUUGAGGCACAUGAAUGAAGAAGUGUCCAGAAAGCAAAAGGAUGGUGAGACUGUUAGAGUUGAAGCAUUUCAGGACGCAAUAUGCUAUGGUGCUUGUGCAGCUAAGAGAUUCUAAUGAUCAAGUAGCCUCAGCUUUGCUUUCUCUGCGGCAACGUAACACGUAUCAUGGAAAUCAAUUACCGUCAUAUCCUAUUUCCAUGGAAAAUGGUGGAACCAUUACUGGAGCACCAGAUCCAUAUAACCGUUUUGGUUAUAUUAAUCCAGAAUCCGGUUCCCAAGUAAUGGAAGUUAUUGAGACUUCAAGGUGCAAAGCAAAAAUGAUGGUUGAUGUUGCUGUUCAGGCGAUGUGCAAAGUGAGGGAAGGAGAGAACGCCUUUGCUAAAAUCGGUGAAGCACUAGAUGAUCUCGAUAGUCGUGGCACAGGCUCUGGUUCAAGCAUACUAGGAAUAAGACGGAUACCUCCCGAUUCAGGGAAGGCAAAUACAUCCUUUCAAGAUAACGGAACGCCUGCCCCUGCAGCAAUCAACUCUUCAGGUCCAAGAUUGCCCAACGGGUAUGAUUCUGAAGCUCAGGUUCCUACUGAUUUGAUUUCGUCCUGCGUAGCCACGAUACUUAUGAUUCAGAACUGCACGGAAAAGCAGUAUCAUCCUGCCGAAGUUGCACACAUCCUUGAUUCGGCCCUGUCACGCCUACAACCGUGCAGCUCCCAGAACAUCCCGAUCUUCAGGGAGAUUGAGAUGUGCAUGGGCAUUAUAAAGAAUCAAAUGUUGGCGUUGAUACCCACACCAAGCGGCUAGUUCCUUGCUUUCCUGUGAGCUGGCCGGAAGAGGGGUAAAUUUCGGAAAGAAACCGGAAUACUGUAUGUGGCGUGUAUUGUUUUUUUUUUCCCAUUUUUUACUGAUUUGUUGUGUUGUACAAGCUGUAUGUUUUUUUACUGUCGUACAAGCUGUAUGUUAUUGCUUUAUACAUGUAUAAUAGUAAUCAUGAAAGUUCAUUGUUCUGGCAAGCGCAUGUACAUUCAGCUUG